UCUCGAUAGCGUAAAACUUAACUCAGAUUUGUAUGGAGUUGAAACGUUUGCCUACGUUUGCCGCUAGGCACGCUGUUCCAACUGCAUACAAAUUUGAGUUACUUUUACGCCAUCGA
rnacentral:pre_miRNA from 9 species